UUGCUAGCACUUCAGCAGCAUAUACACUCACAUUGGAACGACACAGAUGAGGUUAUGAAUCCUUAUAGCAGGAUAACAUGCACAUCCAUGAAGUGUUCCAUAUUUUU
rnacentral:snRNA from 14 species